rnacentral:tRNA from 1 species
GCUGGUAUAGCUCAGUUGGUAGAGCGACGCACUCGUAAUGCGUAGGUCGCCGGUUCGAGUCCGGCUUCCAGCUCCA